AGGUGUCAAAGACUCAAUAGAGAAUCCGGUAAAAGCCGGAGCGGUCCCGCCACUGUAACAGGGAGCGAGCCUCAAAUGUGUCACUGAAGACGGCAAAGCGUCUUUGGGAAGACGAGGCAAGCUGUGAACUGGAGCCAGGAGAACUGCCUGAUUUGC
rnacentral:ncRNA from 1 species